rnacentral:lncRNA from 1 species
AUGAGCCGCUCCUCGCGCCCCUGGCGCUGGGUGCCAUGGCCCGAGCCGAAGGCACCCGAGGUCCCGGAGCGCUCACGGCCUCUGCGCUUGGCCCGGCCGCCCACGAAGGAGAAAAAGGCGCAGCCCAGGAACAUUCGGAAGCAGCAGAUCGCCCCGAAAAAGAAGCCGCAGCCGCGGCCCUGCUCCGGGCGCUUCUGCAGCAGGAAAUCGAGCACCCACGCGGGGCUGCGCACGGAGAGGACCGGGAAGGUCAGGAGCGGCAGGUGGGCGCUCAGCGCGCUGAUUUUCAGCAGCCCGGACCCCCACACGGCGCUCCUGAAGCCCCGCAAGGCGUCGAAUAGGUCGUCCUCGUCCUCGUCGCUCGAGUCCGUGUCCCACUCGAUCCAGAUCCUACUCGUGGCCCCGGCGCCGGCGCCCACGCCGCCCCCGCCGGCGCCCUCCGCGGCGCCCUCGUCUGCGCCGCCGGCGGCGGUAGCGGCGGCGACCUCCAGGCCUUGGGCAUCCUCCUGGGCUUCUGGCACCUUCUUCUUCUUCUUCUUCUCCUUCUUCUUCUUCUUCUUCUGCAUCUUCUCCAACUUCUUCCUCUCCUUCUCCUUCUUCUUCUCCUUGUUUCUUCUCUGCUCCAAUAGCUUCCUCUCGAUCUUCCGCCGCUCCUUUUCGGUCAGCAACUUCUCGGAGGGCGCCUCUUGCUCCGGCUUCUUGCGGGGCUUCUCGGUGUCCCCUUUCUUCCGCGGCGCGCGCGGCUCGGCCAGCGCUGCAGCCACCGCCGCAGCUUCGGCAGCCACCUCGGCCGCAGCCAACGCUGUCUUCCUCUCGCUCUCCACCGCCCAAGCUUUGAUCUUCAUGGCCAUCUUCAGCAUGGUGGCUCGGCCACCUCGGGGUGCUUGGCUCUCGCCUGGCCCGGGCGCCCUGCUUGCCCCCGGCCUCGGGCUGGCUGGACCCCGUGCGCCCCGUGUCGGGGGAGUCGGCUGCGAUCCCCGCUGCGCUGCCCCGGGGCCGCGGAGCGCGGCUGCCGGGCUUCGUUCGGGCUGCUGGGCUGGCUGCCUAAGAGUUAGCGCCAAAAAAGGGUGA